CGUGUGUGUGUGUGUGUGUGUGUGUGUAUAUAUAUAUAUAUAUAUAUAUAUACGUACAUACACUCACACACACAUUCA